rnacentral:rRNA from 1 species
GAUGAACGCUGGCGGCGUGCCUAAUACAUGCAAGUCGAGCGAACAGACGAGGAGCUUGCUCCUCUGACGUUAGCGGCGGACGGGUGAGUAACACGUGGAUAACCUACCUAUAAGACUGGGAUAACUUCGGGAAACCGGAGCUAAUACCGGAUAAUAUAUUGAACCGCAUGGUUCAAUAGUGAAAGACGGUUUUGCUGUCACUUAUAGAUGGAUCCGCGCCGCAUUAGCUAGUUGGUAAGGUAACGGCUUACCAAGGCAACGAUGCGUAGCCGACCUGAGAGUGUGAUCUGCCACACUGGAACUGAGACAAGGUCCAGACUCCUACGGGAGGCAGCAGUAGGGAAUCUUCCGCAAUGGGCGAAAGCUUGACGGAGCAACGCCGCGUGAGUGAUGAAGGUCUUCGGAUCGUAAAACUCUGUUAUUAGGGAAGAACAAAUGUGUAAGUAACUAUGCACGUCUUGACGGUACCUAAUCAGAAAGCCACGGCUAACUACGUG